GUUUUAAUAGUUUAAUAUAAAACAAUGAUUUUGUAAAUCAUAAAUAGGGUUUAACCUUUAAAACU
rnacentral:tRNA from 1 species